rnacentral:rRNA from 1 species
UGCAUGGUUGUCGUCAGCUCGUGUCGUGAGAUGUUGGGUUAAGUCCCGCAACGAGCGCAACCCCUAUUGUUAGUUGCCAUCAUUCAGUUGGGCACUCUAGCGAGACUGCCGGUAAUAAACCGGAGGAAGGUGGGAUGACGUCAAUCAUCAUGCCCCUUAUGACCGUGGGCUACACACGUGCUACAAUGGUUGGUACAACGAGUUGCGAGUCGGUGACGGCGAGCUAAUCUCUUAAAGCCAAUCUCAGUUCGGAUUGUAGGCUGCAACUCGCCUACAUGAAGUCGGAAUCGCUAGUAAUCGCGGAUCAGCACGCCGCGGUCGAAUACGUUCCGGGCCUU